rnacentral:tRNA from 2 species
AGAAAAUUAGUUAAAAUAUAACAUAGGAUUGUCAGUCCUAAGUUACUAGCUUGGGAUUAGUAUUUUCUA